rnacentral:rRNA from 1 species
CGGGUGAGUAAUACAUCGGAACGUACCCAGUAGUGGGGGAUAGCUCGGCGAAAGCCGGAUUAAUACCGCAUACGACCUAUGGGUGAAAGCGGGGGAUCGCAAGACCUCGCGCUAUUGGAGCGGCCGAUGUCGGAUUAGCUAGUUGGUGAGGUAAAGGCUCACCAAGGCUACGAUCCGUAGCUGGUCUGAGAGGACGACCAGCCACACUGGGACUGAGACACGGCCCAG